rnacentral:rRNA from 1 species
UUAAUCGGAAUUACUGGGCGUAAAGGGUGCGUAGGCGGUUUGUCGCGUCUAUCGUGAAAGUCCGAGGCUCAACCUCGGAUCUGCGGUGGGUACGGGCAGACUAGAGUGAUGUAGGGGAGACUGGAAUUCCUGGUGUAGCGGUGAAAUGCGCAGAUAUCAGGAGGAACACCGAUGGCGAAGGCAGGUCUCUGGGCAUUAACUGACGCUGAGGAGCGAAAGCAUGGGGAGCGAACAG